UUGUGUUUUUUUGUUGUUGUUGUUGUUUUAUAGUAUAGUAGUAUUGUACAAAAGGCCCGGAUACCUUUAAAUGUCCUGGACGAUUUCAACCAAUCAUAGAGUACAAGGUUGCCAUAGUGACAUUCGUGCUGAGGUGAAUUGGUGCUGAGGUGGAUUCAGUCGGAGAGAGAAGACGCAUCAUAAUUAUUAGUUAAGAUACUUGACAGUUUCAAUUUAGUUAAUCUGUAGUGUUCGACGAUUAUUCAGCUGGUUUACAUAUACAUUGAGUCGCUGUGUGCGUACAUACCAAAACCACACCUACAUACCCCAUAUGUAAAUCAACCAGCUCUUCAGUAAAUAAGUGAAGUUUGAACCCUGCCUGGUGUGUCUGUUCAACUAAGCCUCAUCUUAUACAGUUCUGACCGACUGCCUGCUGCGUUUCACAUCCUUUAAAAUUAGUCUACUAUCGAACCUCUUCAUUUCAAUGGUCCUUCGAGCCGGAGCGUGAAUCACAGCAGAGAGAUGACAUCCCACUUUGAGCCAGACACUCCUGUUGUUCGACCUAGACGACAGAUAAGGCUGCCUGCACAUCUAGCAGAUUAUCAAGUUACUGAUUCAACGAAUAUGAAGAGAGCGUUACCUCUGUUUCCUCCAACUGCUGAGAGUGUGUCACAAUCAUCUUCUCCAGAGAGCCAGUCACCGUAUCCAGAUGGCCUACUACUAUGUGAUGAAUGGCCAGAUUUAGCAGAAGAUGUGGCACCAGAGUAUAAUGAGCCCCGCCAAGACCAGCAUCUCUUUGAUAUUAAAGCUAUGU